GGCCUGGUCGGGCGGUCUGCCUCACGGUACGUACUGUCUGACUGGGUCUUACCUCUUGGUGAGCCGGCAUGCCCUUCACUGGGUGUGUCGGGGAACCAGGACUUUUACUUUGAGAAAAUUAGAGUGUUCAAAGCAGGCCUAUGCCCGAAUACAUUAGCAUGGAAUAAUAAAAUAGGACGUGCGGUUCUAUUUUGUUGGUUUCUAGAGUCGCCGUA
rnacentral:rRNA from 1 species